rnacentral:lncRNA from 1 species
ACAUAGUUAAAUAGUUCUGUGCCACAAAUCCAUCUCAUAGUAAGUCUCACAAGUCUGGGAACCCAACUGUAGUUGCUUCUCCCAGCUUCAGAGUAGGUAAUUGGAAUAGAUAUUCUUGGAAUUUGGUGGAUGUCCACAUUGACUUUCUAAAUCAUGGAGUUUAAGGCCAUUAUGUAAGGGAAGGUCAAGAGGAAAACUUGGAAUUUCUACUCCUAUGCCGAAUUAUAUACAAAGUAGUAUACAAACAACAGAAAUACAAACAGUGGCUAGGGCAUAGCUCAGUGAUAGAGUCAGUGCUUAGCAUGUGCAAGGCCCUGGUUUCGAUCCCCAACACCAAGAAAGAAAGAAAAGAAGGAAGGAAGAAAUUAGGAAAAGAUCUCACCAGAGGAUAGCAACAAAGAAAUUACUUAAAAGAAUAAAAUAGAUAUUUUAGAGUUGAAAAGUACAAUAACUGAAAUGAAAAAUUUACUAGAGAUGUUCAGUAGCAAAUUUGAAGGGGCAUAAUAAAGAUAAGUGAACUUGAAGAUUAUCCACACUGAGAAAGAAAGAUUUUUUUAAAUGAAGAAAAAUGAACAGGGUCUAGGAGACUUUUAGGACACCGUAAAGCAGAGCCACUUAUUCAUAAGGGGAGUUCCAGAAGGGAAAAGAAAGGGCCAGGACAUAGAUUAGUGUUUGCCAAGUAUUGAGGGUGUAUGGCGAGUGGGUACAGGGUUUCUUCUGAAAUGAUAAACGUGUUCUGGAAUUAGAUGGUAG